rfam:Microgenomates (Gottesmanbacteria) bacterium GW2011_GWA1_48_13 TY27_C0004, whole genome shotgun sequence.
GGAGAGGUCGCAUAGAGGCCUAGUGCCACCGCUUGGAAAGCGGUUGGGGGCGUAAGUCCCACGCGGGUUCGACUCCCGCCCUCUCCG